rnacentral:misc_RNA from 1 species
UUUUUUUUUUUUUUUCAAACUUUUACUGCAAUUAUGUCCAGAUUACCAAAAUUGGUCAAAAUUAAAAUAAACAAUUAUAUUUUAAUUUUCAUUGAAAUGAAAACAUUAAUAUAUUUUUCCAUCUUCCCCGUGAUUCUCUCUUUAUCUUUCCCACAUCUCCACCAAUCCCCUUGUUUUUCUCUCACCUUUCUUUAUCUAUCUGCCAUGGCCACAUCUCAAACUCUGUUGCAUGUUGCCUGCCAUUUGAACCUCCCUUCCAUCAAUAGAGUUUAAGUUCUGAGAAAAUAAUUUGUUUUAGACUGUUACCAAGUCAUCUCCUUCAUUAGUACAAGUCUAGUUUGUAUUUUCUACCAUAACUUUGAGAGCAUUUGCAAGAUGUCACGUGUGUGAUCAUUACACAUUGCAGAUUUUCAAUUUCUAGUUGCCUUAACUCUCUGGACUUACAAUAAUGAUAGUUCUUUCGACUUUUCCUUGCACUAUAUGGAGAAAGGAGAUUUUUUUUGAGAAAAUAAGAAGCAUUUACAAGCCCUAUAUAUAGUCAAUGUAUCAGCCAUUUAUAGCACAAAUAAAUAAGCAUGCGAGUAUCCCACUCUUUUUUGCCUGCAAAUAAUUUCUUUUUCUUCUCUUUGGAGAAAAGCGAUGCCGAGAGAGCUGGAUGAGAAAGAGAGUGAUGCAGUAUUGGAAAAGGAUUAAAAUUAGGAAUUGUAUUAUUUUGGAAUUUUAUUAUUAUUAGAUUUA